rnacentral:rRNA from 1 species
AUUGAACGCUGGCGGCAGGCCUAACACAUGCAAGUCGAGCGGAUGACGGGAGCUUGCUCCUUGAUUCAGCGGCGGACGGGUGAGUAAUGCCUAGGAAUCUGCCUGGUAGUGGGGGACAACGUUUCGAAAGGAACGCUAAUACCGCAUACGUCCUACGGGUGAAAGCAGGGGACCUUCGGGCCUUGCGCUAUCAGAUGAUCCUAGGUCGGAUUAGCUUGUUGGUGAGGUAAUGGCUCACCAAGGCGACGAUCCGUAAAUGGUCUGAGAGGAUGAUCAGUCACGCUGGAACUGAGACACGGUCCAGACUCCUACGGGAGGCAGCAGUGGGAAUAUUGGACAAUGGGCGAAAGCCUGAUCCAGCCAUGCCGCGUGUGUGAAGAAGGUCUUCGGAUUGUAAAGCACUUUAAGUUGGGAGGAAGGGUUGUAGAUUAAUACUCUGCAAUUUUGACGUUACCGACAGAAUAAGCACCGGCUAACUCAGUGCCAGCCGCCGCCGUAA